rnacentral:rRNA from 1 species
GAUGAACGCUGGCGGCGUGCCUAAUACAUGCAAGUCGAGCGGACAGAUGCGGAGCUUGCUCCUCUGACGUUAGCGGCAGACGGGUGAGUAACACGUGGAUACCCUACCUGUCAGACUGGGAUCACUUCGGGAAACCGGAGCUAAUACCGGAUAAUAUAUUGAACCGCAUGGUUCGAUAGUGAGAGACGGUUUUGCUGUCACUUAUAGAUGGAUCUGGGCCGCAUUAGCUAGUUGGUAAGGUAACGGCUUACCAAGGCAACGAUGCGUAACCGAACUGACAGGGUGAUAGGCGACACGGGAACUGAGACACGCUCCAGACGCCUACGGGAGGGAGCAGAAGGGAACCGGACGCAAUGGUCGAAAGCCUUACGGAGCAACGCCGCGCGAGUGAUGAAGGCCUUCGGAUCGUAAAACCCGGUUAUGAGUUAAGAACAAAUGUGUAAGGAAACAUGGACGUCUUGACGGUAAUGAAUCAGAAAGCAACGGCUAACUACGUG